rnacentral:rRNA from 1 species
UACGAAGGGGGCUAGCGUUGCUCGGAAUUACUGGGCGUAAAGGGCGCGUAGGCGGUUUGUACAGUCAGGUGUGAAAUUCCCGGGCUCAACCUGGGGGCUGCACUUGAUACGUAGGAACUUGAGUGGGGAAGAGGGUCGUGGAAUUCCCAGUGUAGAGGUGAAAUUCGUAGAUAUUGGGAAGAACACCGGUGGCGAAGGCGGCGACCUGGUCCUUGACUGACGCUGAGGCGCGAAAGCGUGGGGAGCAAACAGG